UCCCUGGUGGUCUAGUGGCUAAGACUCUGUGCUCCCAAUACAGGAGGUCUGGGUUUGAUCCCUGGUCAGGAAA
rfam:TPA: Bos taurus chromosome 5, whole genome shotgun sequence.